GACUCUCAGGCGCAUGCUGACGAGAUACACAGGACAGAUGACACUAAGCCUGUAGGGGCAACGGCUGUCCCCCAAGAUGAUCCCAACUGGGAUUAUCAGGCAGGGAGACCUGGAUGAGCAGCCCAUAAUCAUACUAUUGCUUGCCUCAUUCUGGGCCUUCAAAAGGCAGGGCAUAAAGCCAUCACCUUUGAUAAGCUCCAGGAAAUAACUCAAGACUAGAUGAAAACCCCAGCACAAUUUCUAGCCCUACAAAACAAAAGCCCUACAAAAAUAUACAAAAGGCCUAACAGAAGCCCUACAAAAAUAUAUAAAAUUAGACCCCACUUCAGCAGAGGGUACUCUUGUCCUUAAAAUGCAUUUUAUCUCCCAGUCAUUCCCAGAUAGCCGAAAGAAACUAAAAAAGGCAGAAGAAGGCCCUCAAACCCCUCAAUGAGACCUUUUAAAUUUAACUUUUAAGAUUUUAAAAAACCAGGAAGAACAGUCAAAACUAGAGAAGGCCCAAUGAGAUUAGGCCAAAUACCAGCUUUUAGCCACUGGCCUACAUGGCUCCAAGCCUCCAUCAACCAACAAAGAAAGGAAGCCACCUGGGCCCUGCUUCAAAUGCAGCAAAAAAGGCCACUGGGCGCACUCAUGCCUAAAGCGAAGGCCCCCUCGAGGUCCAUGUCCCAGCUGUGUCAUAAAAGGGACAUUGAAAGGUCAACUGACCAAAUCCUGCUCUAGGGAUCUGGACAGCUCCUCCUGGUGUCGAGCAGGAGUCCCCCAACCCAGCUCUGCCCAGCCUUCUGGGACUCGCCACUGAAGACUGAAGGUGCCCAGGGCCCCAGGCCCCAACUCUCAUCACCGGUACGGAGCCCAGGAUAACUCUUACAGUGGCAGGAUGGUUUACAAGCCUUCACCAACCGAACUAUCCAGGAGCUACUUCUAACUCACUCAGAUUAUCAAAAACUUCGACUCCACACAAAUUCCCUUGACCCACAUUCCAGCCUUCUCUUAUCUCACCCCCACAACACCCUUGUCCUGCAGGAAGAAGUUACAGAAGAUUGACCUUCGACCGUUAUCCUAAAUUAAAAAAGGCUGAAAUGAUAGGGCCUACAUGGAGUCUCAUUGAUAAGAUGGCUCAUUAUGUCAACCUCACAAACAAAGAAUAAAAUCACAGUGAUCCUUGAGACUGACCAAAUUGCCCAAAUUGUAUCCUGUUUUCUCACUGGUGCCUAUCUUCUCAAAGCUGCGAGACCACCAGAUUCAAGACCUCUGGCUACGUGACCAUCCCUUCAGAGAAUUUUUCAUUGGUGGGGUAUAAGAAGGACUCCGUCAGAAAGGGAGGAUGCUGGUUCUCCUUAAGAGCCAGUCACCCUCUCUUUUCCCUCUAAUAAAUUUCCCUUUUCUCGCCUGA